rnacentral:rRNA from 1 species
GUUGAGAAUGGCAAGAAGAUACUUAUUCUCCAUGGUACAAAGACUAGCGCAGUUUUGAACUCCAUGUUGUUAGAUCUUUUUCACCUGAAGCGUGAUCAUUCUAUCAAAUACGCCAACAAUAACGCCAACAUCAGACCAUUUGAGAGUGGGGGUUAAAAUUCCCUGGAGUUCUUCUCCCUUAAAUCUUACUGCAGCCUUUUAUUCACAUUUCCUAUUCUGUAG